rnacentral:rRNA from 1 species
GAUGAACGCUGGCGGCGUGCCUAAUACAUGCAAGUCGAGCGAACAGACGAGGAGCUUGCUCCUCUGACGUUAGCGGCGGACGGGUGAGUAACACGUGGAUAACCUACCUAUAAGACUGGGAUAACUUCGGGAAACCGGAGCUAAUACCGGAUAAUAUAUUGAACCGCAUGGUUCAAUAGUGAAAGACGGUUUUGCUGUCACUUAUAGAUGGAUCCGCGCCGCAUUAGCUAGUUGGUAAGGUAACGGCUUACCAAGGCAACGAUGCGUAGCCGACCUGAGAGGGGGACGGGCAAAACGGGAAUGAGGAAAGGUACAGAAGUCUAAGGGGAGGAAGAAGAAGGAAACCUCCGGAAAGGGGCGAAGGCUGAAGGGGGAAAGGCGGGGGAGUGAUGAAGGUCCUUCGAUCGUAAAACUCUGUUAUUAGGGAAGAACAAAUGUGUAAGUAACUAUGCACGUCUUGACGGUACCUAAUCAGAAAGCCACGGCUAACUACGUG